rnacentral:rRNA from 1 species
CCCGCUGAACUUAAGCAUAUCAAUAAGCGGAGGAAAAGAAACCAACAGGGAUUGCCUCAGUAACGGCGAGUGAAGCGGCAACAGCUCAAAUUUGAAAUCUGGCUCUUUUAGGGCCCGAGUUGUAAUUUGUAGAGGAUGCUUCGGCGUCGGCUCCGGUCUAAGUUCCUUGGAACAGGACGUCAUAGAGGGUGAGAAUCCCGUAUGUGAUCGGUUGCCUUUGCCAUGUGAAGCCCCUUCGACGAGUCGAGUUGUUUGGGAAUGCAGCUCUAAAUGGGAGGUAAAUUUCUUCUAAAGCUAAAUACUGGCCAGAGACCGAUAGCGCACAAGUAGAGUGAUCGAAAGAUGAAAAGCACUUUGGAAAGAGAGUGAAACAGUACGUGAAAUUGUUGAAAGGGAAACGCUUGAAGUCAGUCGCGUCUUCUGGAACUCAGCCGUGCUUCUGCUAGGCGCAUUUUCCAGUUUGACGGGUCAGCAUCGGUUUCGGUGGGCAGACAAAGGCGCAGGGAAGGUGGCCGCUCCGGUGGUGUUAUAGCCCUGCGUUGUAUGUGCCCGCUGGGACCGAGGAAUCCGGCUCGCGCCUGGGAUGCUGGCGUAAUGGCUCUAAGCGACCCGUCUUGAAACACGG